GGAAAGUAUGAACUUAUUUAAACAAUAAGCACAUGCUAAGCCAGCUGGUGCAGUCUGCAGGGACAGAAUAUAUGGGUCAGCAUAUUCCAUCAUCAGCAUUUUUCUAUUCUGGUAAAGCACCUGCUUGAGUAAACAGACAACAUGGGGCCCCAGUGCAGCAAAAUUACAUUAUUAAAGAGACAGCUUCCCAAAUUUGUGGCCUACUUAGAUUUUUCUCUCUCUAGAAACAAGCUAAAUCUUGUCAAAAGGAAGCCCUGUGCUUUAUAAACAUGCUUCAAUCAGACACCGAAUUCCUUUAACUGUUGCACACAUAACAAAUAGCAUCAAAGAUACUAUAAUUACAUUAGAUAGUGAACUUCUGUGGCAUUUUGUUUACGUCAUCUGAGACAAUUUAUUAGUGUAAAAAGGUAAAGAUUUUCCUGUUACAGUUUUAGUUAAGACAAGAGAACUGCCUGAUUGGUUAGUUAAGUUGAGAGAACACUUUUUCAAAGAACUACCCAAUGAAUUCCAGCUCUGAAUGAUUCUAUAUAGUCUCUCCCUCCUCCUCCCCCUUUUCCUCUUGGAAUGAUGAGAGGUGUUUGGCUGGGGGUGAUGUCAUUCAUUUUUUGUCCUGGGUGUGUGUUUUUGAUGCUUUUUAAUAUUCUAAUUUCAUGGUUUAAAUGAUGACACAAAGCAUUCAUUUAAUGACAUAAUGUGUUCAUUGUUUUUAUUUUUUAUAUUUAAAUGUUAUGCAUUUAAAUGU